UGUUCUGUGUUGGUUAAAGCACCAGACUAGCAAUACGGAGUCGUGGGUUCAAAUCCCACCAAAACAA
rnacentral:tRNA from 1 species